ACGAACGCUGGCGGCGUGCUUAACACAUGCAAGUCGAACGGAAAGGCCCUGCUUUUGUGGGGUGCUCGAGUGGCGAACGGGGGAGUAACACGUGAGUAACCUGCCCUUGACUUUGGGAUAACUUCAGGAAACUGGGGCUAAUACCGGAUAGGAGCUCCUGCUGCAUGGUGGGGGUUGGAAAGUUUCGGCGGUUGGGGAUGGACUCGCGGCUUAUCAGCUUGUUGGUGGGGUAGUGGCUUACCAAGGCUUUGACGGGUAGCCGGCCUGAGAGGGUGACCGGCCACAUUGGGACUGAGGUACGGCCCAGACUCCUACGGGAGGCAGCAGUGGGGAAUAUUGCACAAUGGGCGGAAGCCUGAUGCAGCAACGCCGCGUGCGGGAUGACGGCCUUCGGGUUGUAAACCGCUUUCGCCUGUGACGAAGCGUGAGUGACGGUAAUGGGUAAAGAAGCACCGGCUAACUACGUG
rnacentral:rRNA from 1 species